UACGUAGGGGGGCUAGCGUUGUCCGGAAUCAUUGGGCGUAAAGCGCGUGUAGGCGGUCUCUUAAGUCUGAUGUGAAAGCCCCGGGCUCAACCCGGGAAGUGCAUUGGAUACUGGGAGACUUGAAUACGGGAGAGGGUAGUGGAAUUCCUAGUGUAGGAGUGAAAUCCGUAGAUAUUAGGAGGAACACCGGUGGCGAAGGCGGCUACCUGGACCGAUAUUGACGCUGAGACGCGAAAGCGUGGGGAGCAAACAGG
rnacentral:rRNA from 1 species